UUCCACUGAUCAGAAAACAUAGGAGAUGUGAGGUUCCCUUGCUGAACACAGCAUGCCUGGCUUGAGACUUAGAGUUCUUUGUGGCUGAAAAAGGCAAAGAUGGACAAUGACAUGGAAAAAAACAUUGCAGACACCAGUUACUUGCCAGUAGUGCUCAGUAUACCAAACACUCAUGCAAAGGACAUACAGGGAUUUUGAAAAUGCUGCACAUCCUGUAACAAUCGACUCCCCACAGACAUUACUGACGCUAUUUUGUAUCGAAGGCCAAAGUUCCUAAUUUCAGCCUAACUUCUGGUUCUGUGAAGAAGCGAGUUAUUGGACGUUUCCUACUGCCUCGAGUGGAAGCGGAGAUGUUCGAUACGUGCUGUCUGAGACCCUUGCAGGAGGAUGGCCCCAGAUUUGAGUGGGAACGUUUUCACCUUCUCGUUGGCUGAAGAAUAGUAAAUGGCAAACUAAAUAAAUUCUAAUAGUGUGACCUUAAUUUACUGAAUUCACACCCGGUUUUAUGUUCUUCACUUUUUUCAAGAACAGAAAACAUAAACUGCUCUGCGUAGGAAUAUUUCAAAAUUUUGUAACUAAACCUUUGUCACAAUGCAGUCCAAAGAGUAAAACCAAGACAGGCUGCCUCCUGAGGUGUAAAUGAAUAACUGCAAAUGUGGGCACAGCGAGAGGUUUUUAUAGGCACAGGCGAGAGAACAUCGAGGUGGGAUUUGUGUUUAAUUUUUAAAACAUGCGCAAGUUCAUGUUUCCUUGUUUGAAUGUUUUUUUGGUGGCAGGAUCUGUAGUACUUUGCAUCUAAACCCUCGGUCUCUUCAUGUGGAGACCAGCAUUUGACAGUGUGGUUUGUUUUGGUUAUUUUUUUUUUUUUAAUGCAUCUGCAUUUGUUUAAUUUAUUAUUAUUUUACUGUAUUAUAUUGUUAUAACCAAGGCUCCACGAAACACAGGAUGUCUCUGGGUGCGUACAUCAAGUAAAACUGUGUAUAAAUAUUAGUUCCCGUAAAGUAUCACAGUUAAAAUAAAAGAAGACAGAGAAAAAAAGACAAUAAACUGGAACAGAUAUCAGGGCUUAGAAGCAUACUUUUUAUAUUGAGAAUUAAUUGUAGUGGUUUCUGAAUUUCACAGCACAGGGAAGAGUUUAUGAAUAUUUAUUAGCAACAGCAUUCAUAGUGAGUUUCAAUAGUUAAAAUAAGUUGCACAACACUUCAAACAUUUUUCUUGUACAUAAAUAAUUCUGGUUUUCUUUUUUUUGUUUAAGUACACAUUUCUCUCUGUUGCUACUGUGAUUCAUAUCAAAAAGGGCAAAGAACAGGAGCAACUGCUGCUAUCUGGAGAACAAGUGCAGUGCGUGUUCUUAAACUCUCCCGUCUUGCUUGAAGAGCAGUUCUUCCCUGGAUAACAUUUUCUCCUGAAUGUUGCUCUGUAAAAUGCCUUUGUUAUGCUGCAAAUCUAAAGGAGUCCAAACUAGGUAAUUGUCAUAGUUGCCAGUGCAGUUUCUACAUUUUUGGGCUUGCAUCACUGGUUUCAGCGGAACCUGUAACUAUGGGGCCCUGUUGUAUUCUCUUUUUCAGUGGGAGCAGAAUCAUUUUGUCACACGUUCAAUUCCGUAGUCACAUCAAAUGUACAGUUGUUCCCUGUAAAGAGCCCUUUCUCAACAAGAAUAUUUGUGUUGCCUUGUAUUAUCUUGGGGAAGGGAGGGAGGGGAUGAGGAAUUACAGCACCUGUUAUACUCAAAUAGUGGUGUUGCCUGCAGGCCCACUUUUUCAAUGUUUUAAAUUCCUGAUACCUUCUGAAAGUAAAGCUUUUGCAUUUGCAUUGAUUUAAUGUUUACUGUUGGCUUUAUGCCUACAGAAACCUGUAGCAAUGUAAAGGGGUAGGUAAGUGUUUUGAUGUCCUGGGCUCUGAGGUCAUAGAUAGCCUUUGGCUUGGGGAUUAAGUAGGUAAAUAUUAUAAACAUGAAUCUGUUUACAACUUGAACUCAGUUUUGGUAGUUCGUGGUAGUAGCUGAUUUAAAGACCCAGCCAUUAUCACUGUUGUCCCAUGUUUAGGAACAGUGUUAGAAAAGCAUGCCACAAGCCAAUGCACUGCGCGUGGUUUUGCAGGCAAGAGUCCAUCGCUACUUCCAUCAGCACAGUAGAGCAGCAAUACCUUGGAUUAUUUGAGGAACUGACAUGAGGUCAGCCUUAGUUUGACAUUCUUGGUAUCCAUGAAUCUCUUCUGAAAGACUAUGGGGGGUUUUCUUGUAUCAAAACCUGUAAUAGAGACCAAGCCUAGAAUGACCCUGGAAGCAUGGCAGUGAUGCUUGGGUUUGAAAACACCUGUGGAAACUCACCUAGGUAAGCUUUCUGUCACCAUCAGUGGCUGAUGACUAUGCUGUAGGCAUAGCUCUAGUCUUAGGCAACACCUUCAGUUUGAAAACAUCCUCACAGGGGUGCUGAGUCACUGCUUCAGAAGGGGAAAAUAAACCACCAAACAAUUCCUGUGUCUUGAUCAAGGAAAACCACACUUGUCCACAAGAAGCAAUAACUUAUAUUAUGGUGCGAUAUGCUUCUUUGCCUGUAAAUAUCUUGAGAUUGCCAAUUCUGUGCUGUUUCAGAGUAUUUUUCUGUCAUCUGGCCUAUAUCUUCCCUAAGUAUGUAAAGGUGUGAAAUAAUUCCCAUACUCAGGUCUGCCAUAAACAUGCUGCUUGCCAGCAGGGGAAGAGUAGACUCGACACUGUCUUGAAAUGUGAGAUUUUUCUGAACUUGUAACAUACCCAUGUCUCUUCAGUAGCAACUUGUGUUUUGAAGUUCAUAGUGGAGGUGGCUGUGAGUUGAAUUGUAUAUAACCAUAUCCCUACAAUACCAAGAGAGUCACACUACUGUUGGCACAGGGCACCCUUUGUCCUAUCUCUUAUGAGUCAGUAUAUCUAUAAUAACACUUCCCUUUUAAAGGAGGUAGCUAAUUUUCUUUCAGCGUGUGGAUUCAAUGAUGAGUUCAGUGGGAUGUAAAAGCAAAAAUACAAAGCACACCACAAAUUUUUGAUAUUUUAUUUUUGGGAGGAAUAAGGCCAAAACCAGAUGGUCUUAUUUGUAGUCAAGGUAGCUGUCAUAUUCAAGGUUAAGUGUACUGCGGUAUUUUGAAAGGGACAACAUAUAGGUGAUGUACAAAAACUUGAGUAUGUACUUUUGACCUUGGUUUUUUUCCUUGCUCCCCCUCUUUUAUGAUGUAAAGGGGGCUUAUGACUGAAUGUCAAGAUUCAGACAUUCAUCCUACUUCCUAAUGUUAGGAGCAUUGGCUUUUUAAGUCUUUCCUGAAAGGCUGGAGAGCUGGUAAAAUGGACUCCCAGAAGACUAAAAUCUCAACAAAUAUGAGAAAGAUAAUUUUUAUUCAGAAAUGUGGAUAUUUGGUGCUUCUGGAUGGUUAAUGUCUAAUACAUAAGAUGUGCUUAUGGAUGCUUUUGGCAUGCUGCCUUUUCCAUGUGUGGGCUUCAGAAACUUGCUCCAUUUCUUCUGUGUUCCACCAAAAGCAAGGAACUUGGUGGUUGAAUAUUACUAUUCUCUCUACAGAAACAGCAGCAAAACAUAUUGGUACAAGCCAUGAUCUCUCUGAAUUUCUGUGGAUUUUAGCUGCUUUCCCACACUGAAAGAGAACAUUCUUAUGCAAAUUUGGUAUUGCUUUGUAUCUUCUAAUUUUGCUGGGAGUUUCCUGCUGAGAGACUCCCAUAUACCUGGGAAUGCAGAAAUGCUGCUAUGGGAUCUUCCAGCUCACCUUUGCCAGUGGAGGAUUAUCUCAUUUUUUGAUGAGUGCUAUAUUUUAUGAUUUACUUUCCACCCUUCCAGGCUUAAAAAUCAUUUUAGUAUCAAUUUCUUCUCUUCUUAGCUGAAGACACGUUAUAUUUUAGGCCAUAUUCCCUCAGUCUUUGGACAGGCUUUCCACUGGCAUCAGCAAACAUAAUGUAAGAGGUUGUAACUGGAAGGGGAGGCUUGUUAUGGGUUUCCUACAAUCCAGCCAAAUAUGAUUUUUUCAUGCAACUCGUGCUGCUUAACUUUUUGUCAUUCAAAACAUUCUGUGUGAGCAGGUCACGACAGAACUGUGUCCAGGAUUUGUUUCCUGAAUGUAAAAUUCUUGAUGUUUCUGUUUCUAUAUAAAUUAACCUGCUUGUAAAAUCAAGUUGAAGAUGUUGUAGCCUGUUGGGGGUUGAAAAAUCCAACCCAGUCCUUACUCUCAGAUUGCAUUUGGUUAUCGUACUACACAUUGUAGGCUAGCUUCCCAAGCUGCUGUAAAGUCAUGUCUCAAUUACUACAUCAGAGCUGAUGAUGGGAUAAGCUGUAAAAUGACCUCACGGUGGGGCAUUAUUAGUUGUUGAAGACUUGCUCAGGUAAACUACUGUAGGAAUAUCCUGCACCUGAAAAAGGUUGGACUUCAUUCUGGUUUUGAUCUAAUAAGUUGCCAGUGUACAAGAAGUAGAAGGCAGCCAGCCCACUAACUGAUCUUUCUGGCAGCUUUUAAUCUAUGUGUGUUUGUCUGAGAGACUUUUGCCCUUGGGUGUGCUUUGGCAAAGAUUUUGCAACAAUAAAUAGGAUUUGCUCGAUUCUGGCAGAAUUUCAAAUGUAAGUAACCCGACAUUGCAGGAACAUAAUCUGUUGCUGAAUCCAGUUCCUCUUGUUUUCCCUCAAAUCUGUCCCUUUUAUUGCUAAUUUCUUCUAUUUAGUAGUAAACACUUCUCAACAUGACUGGUCACAAGCUCUCAAGGUGUGAAAUGCUAAGAGGAAGAGACAUCAAAGCUUGAUUCUGUGCUCUACUUGUAUAUAUUAAGAUGAAGCCUGGAGUAUUUGUUACCAUACAGUCAAGAAUUCUCCCCAGUGAUAUUGCCAAAACACUGUUACUUUCAAGGAAGAAGGGAGCUAACUUAGCUGUAGAGGGGAUGCUUUAAUGAACUACUUAAAAUCUACUUGUAACAAAGUUUAAGAGCUCCAGUGUCACACUGACACAGUGGUGAUCCAGGGUUAACCUUGUCACUUGAUUGUGAAUCUCAUUCUGGCUCUUCCUAGCCUUUGGCAGGUGCCUGCUGGUAGGGAGCAGAGUGUGCAUUCCCUUUCUUAUAUGCCUCUUCCUACAGAGCUAACCCUGCCCACAGCAAGUUAGAGGGAACUCCAUGCUAGCUUCUGAAAUGCCACCCGUAUGUGCAGUGGUAAUGGACAAGAUAUCUUCCUUCAUUACCCAGAGCAGAAAUUGGAAUGUAAUUUGCAAUGUUUAAUGUAAAACAUGUUUGUUUGUUUUGUUCGGGUUUUUUUUAAUUGAGCAGUAUGAUUGCAAGUUGACUUAAGUUCUUCUAAGGUACUCUUUUCAGUGGUUUGCCAGUACAUAAUCAUGAAUGAAAAUAUUUUUUUAUUGAUUUUUAGGUUGUAUGUUUAACAUUCCAUUCAUGUAAAAUAUGUACAAAUAUAUGUAAUAAAUCUUUUGAAGCACA